ACUAUUCAAGUCGCAAUAGAAUAUAUA
rnacentral:tRNA from 1 species